AUCCCAAUCCACCACAUUUUUUGUUUUAACAAUAUGACGCUAAACUAUAUAGAAUUGUGGGGCCUUACUGUGUCCUAUGGUCGCCCCAAAGAAUGGAUUUUGAAAAUCUAGACCAGGGAACUUAGGUUAUUUAAAAGAAUUAACCAUUGAAGAAAUUAUAGGGACCAACAACAAUUCAGAUUAAAAAAAAAAACGGAAAUGAAAAUGGUACAAGGAAGAAAUAAAUGGAAAAAACCAAGAUUCAAAUUUCAUCUAAUAAUCCAUGGGUUUUCUAAUAUUAACGUACCUCAAAGAGGCCCUUUGAGGAAUGCAGAUUCUUGGGUUGGGUUUUUUAAUAUUAAAAUACGUACCUCAAAGAGAGCCUGUGAGGAAUGCAGAUUCUCCCGUGCCCUCUCUCUCUAACUAUUGCUCUGGUUUUCUCUCUCGAAAUGAAUCUGUAAUAUGUACGGACAUUCUAUGUAUAUAUAUAUUUUUAUGAACUCGUAAAGUUUUUUUUGGGAAUAAAACCAAAUAACAAAAAUCAAGAACUCAUAUGGUUUCUUGAUCCUACGCGUUAUUUGAAUGUUUUCUCGAUCCUACUCAUCUUAUCCUUUUAUUCAGGAUGCGAUU
rnacentral:lncRNA from 1 species